rnacentral:rRNA from 1 species
GGACUACCGGGGUAUCUAAUCCUGUUUGCUCCCCACGCUUUCGCGUCUCAGCGUCAGCAACGAUCCAGAGGGCCGCCUUCGCCGCCGGUAUUCCUCCUGAUAUCUACGCAUUUCACCGCUACACCAGGAAUUCUACCCUCCUCUAUCGCGCUCCAGCUGCCUAGUUUCCGAUGCACUUCCGAGGCUAAGCCCCGGGCUUUCACAUCGGACUUGGGCAACCGCCUACACGCCCUUUACGCCCAGUCAAUCCGAACAACGCUUGCACCCUCCGUCUUACCGCGGCUGCUGGCAC